ensembl:ncRNA F09D5.8 ncRNA
UUCUCAACGGUAUCAAAAACUCAUAAAUUUGCUGUAAUCUUGAGAACACGGAAAAAGUAGACUUGUCCUUCGUCUUCCCCUUUCUCAGCUUUAGAAUUGAUGAGGAAAGGGGAGAGGGUAGAUGAGAAACGACAUGGGACACCCCUGUGUGCUCGGUAGUUGAAAUGUGAUCUUUUGUGACAUAGUACGUCAGAUUAUCAAGAUUCAAGAGGACGAAAAAUGUGGGAAAUUCGUAAAAACUGGAAAGAAGGACUGGCACAGAGGGAUUCAUGAUGCCGUCGUCUAGAAAUUCG